rnacentral:lncRNA from 1 species
CAUCUUAAUAUUGUCUAGCAUAUCUCUCCAUUUGCUUUUCAGGUUACGGAACAUACGGUAUGGUUUCAAUACUAUCCUUGUGAUCCUGAUCUGGCGCAUUUUUAUUGCAAGAUCACAAAUGGCAAGAAACAUCUGGUACUUUGUAGUUAGCCUGUGUUACAAGUUUCUGUCAUAUUUUCGAGCAUCCAGUACUAUGAGAUACUGAAGACCAAGAAUUUAGCUUUAGAACAUCUAUGCAUAUGGUGGUCUAAAAAUGCACAAAAUGUAAAAUGUACUUAAAGUCAUCUCACUUUUUGUCAAACAUUAAACCAUCUUAGAUUGGAAUGUGGAGUAAAGUAUGGUACAUUUUAUGUAACAUUUAAUGUUUAUGCUCAUAAAACCUAGUGAACACACUGUGGUAUGCCAGCUCAAAUCUGUAAUAGCCACCAAAACCAUAACUAAACGUUUUGAUCCCUGGAAAGAAAGGGAUAGGGUGAGGGCAAGAGUAGGAAAUAGGAACCCUGACCAGUAUAACUGUGCAAUUUUUGGGACAUAUUAAUUAAAAUAUGCCUUAACAUAAUUUCUACUAUUUAGUGCAAUGGGUAGCAUUUAUUUGGAUAGGAAUACUAGCUAAGUUGGUAGAUGUCUGAUUCUUUAAUGUUCAAUUUUUUUUUUCAUCAAUUGAAGUGGGUUUGAGUCUUGUUAAGACUAUAACCAAACUAUUUUCACUUCAUCCUAUAAGUUAUUGAGUGAUAUCAAACAUGAAAACGUGUUCCAGUUUUCUUUUUCUGAUUAAAUGUCCAGUGCAUAUCAUUUUUCUAUAAGUAAUCAGUUGCUUUAUAAUGAGAAGGCUAUAUAUUAUUCUAAAAACCCGCUGGAUCUAAAUGGGUUUGAAAAUCCGUAUCAAUAUAUGCUGUGUGUUUUUAAAGGACAACAAAAACAAAUUCAUUGAAACUAUAUCAAAAAGAAUAGGAGUACUUUUUUCUUGUCCACAUUUCAGUCAAAUAAAAAUCAAUCCUGUGAGAUUGUGUUUAUAUAUUGAAGCAAGAGGAUUUUUUAGGACUUUAUUGGAGGUGGGUGUAGGGAAGGAUUCACCAUACUUGGGCUCUCCUUCCUUUAUACAUUAUAUCAUAGGACUUUUAAAAGGCUUGUACUGCUUUUCAAAUGAGAUCUGAAAGUGCAUUAUUAUGGAAGAAUGUAUUUGCAGCUAUUAAUAACAUCAAGAAAAUGUCCUUGUGUGUAAGUAAACACAUUAAUUUUGACCUUGAAAGCUGAAUUCCUUAAAGAAAAUAAUACAAAAUGUGUAUAAAAUUAAAUAAAGGACUUUAUUUACAUACCAUAUAAAGUAGCAAACUGUUGAAUGAGUUUGAAGAUAUCAUUUAUUUUUUCUGCAUGUGGUUUUAGCUUUAGAAAGAAAUGCAUUAUAGAACCAAGUAAUAGCAAGAAAAUUGAUGUAUAUUUUAAUGAUACAUUAUAAUUCCCUUUAAAUUGCAAUAGUAGUUUACUAUUUUAACAUAUAUUUGGUUUAACAGAUUGUUCAGCAUUAUACUGUUCUAAUUAAGCUGAUCAAGUUGUAUUAUAUUUAAAUCAUCAGCAAUGUAUCGUGAAUAUGUUUAAAGGGUUCAGUUCACAGUACAAAGUUACAUGUAACUUCUCAAUUUCCUUUGUCAAUUUAAAUGCAAUGUAUAAAAAGUUUAUUUUGAUAUUGUGGAAAAACUAAAUGUAAAAGAAAUCACCUUCUUCCAUGCAGGUGUAUAAUCUUGAAAAAGAAAAAUGCUUCCAUGUUGAAGCCAGAUUUUCUGUAGUAAAACUUUUAAACAUUAUUUUAAAAGAAAUAUGUAUGUAAAUAGCUAUAUAUUCUUUGGAAUGAUACUAAAGUCUUUGGUCAAGGACCAUACCUUGUAUAAGGUGUGAGAGACCAUGACAGUGUGAAAAUGGAAUAAAUAAUGAUGCCUUGGAUUUAAGGUGGCCCAUAUAUUUACAUUAAGUACUUCAUCUCUCCAAAUAUAUUUCCAUAACAUGUUGAAAACAUGCUAACAUUUGUACGACUUUUGUAAUUCUGCCAGAGAUACCUAGAAUCAGAUGAAUUUUCUUUGUGUCUUAACAAGAGGAUCAGGUGCAACUUGGGCAGGCCUGUGAAGUGCUUUGGGAGUAUUUUGUCUUCUGAACUGUUUUACUGUUCUUAUAAUUUAAGUUAAAUACGAAUUGGGAGGGUGCUGAGGCUACUGUAUUAAUUUUUGUGUUUAGAAUUGUGUCAAAAGAAGGGUAAUGGGUAAAUUAAGUAUGUCAUCCUAGGACUUAAAAUUCUAAAGUUAGUAUAAAGAGUGUAUAGAUUGUUAAUCCUCAUCAACUAGAUUUUGGAUUUAAGUCAGAUUCAAAGAUUUUGGAAAUCUGUUCUCUGUAUCGUUUCAUAGACAAGGUUUUUAGUUCUGUGUGUAUGUUUCUCACAAACUCAUUUAACAAGACAGUUUAUAAAAUAGAUUCAUUUCAUUUAGUUCAUUUGAUAAAACUGUAUUCUAAAACAUUUUAGAUAUUUCCCAUUUUUCACUCUUAAUUGGGACAUGUGUGUUAAAUUGUGAUGUCAUUAAGAGUUUAUUUAAUUUUGAUCUGGCAACACUAUAUGUCUUACAGCUCAGUGCAGAGAAACAUGGCAAUAUGUUGUUCUUUGACCUAAGGAUGGCAUAGAAUGAAGAUUCUUUGUAUUUGUAUAAUAAAGCUUGGAAGUGGGGGGGAAAACUCACUUCUCCCCUUUCUUUGUGUUUGUCUGCAGGAACUGAUUCAGGAUUUUUUGGUUUGUAUUUUUUGUUUUAAUUGUAAACAGAUAAUCUUUUAUAAGCAGUAAAUAGAAGCAUUAUUGGGUGCCUUUGUUUGUAAACCAAAAAGUAAUAAAUGAAUCCCUCUAUUUCCAUUAUAGUUUUUAUUGUAUUUUUAUGUUCUGAAAAUUAUAUGAGAUAAUGUGGUUAGGAUUACAGGAAGCAGUUCUUAACGCCCCUUGUCUUCUUUAGGUGUCCUUAUUAAUUCUUAUAUCCCAAUAUUAUUUAAGUCUGAGUUGCUCACACAGUAUUUUAGGGAAAUAAUAUAUGCCAAGUGAAUGCUUUUUUGUUAAAGUAUUAUUUUUGUGAAUUAGCUAGAAUGAGCUUGUUUUUCUAAAAACAGAACCAGGAGACCACCAGGGUGUCAUUAGACUCCAGCUACUUUGUUUCAUAUUGAAUCCUGUUAGUUUGGGUACAUUAGUAAUUUAUCUGACUCCAUAUAAGGAAUUACUCAUUAGUGAUACAGAUUGAACCUUUUGGGGGUGAGAAGGGCAGAGUAUAUCAGGCUGAGGUACAGCUGAAUGUACAUUGGCCUUCUAAGCAUGUGCUUGUAGGCUGACUCCCAACCGUGACUUGAAACCAUUCUCAUUAAUUUGCUCUGCUUUGAGGAAAACUUUCUCUUUGCAAGAGAAAGGAACACAUGCUGUGAAAUUUGAUCCAUAAAUGAGUUUAAAUUAACAUCAUGUGAUAGAAGAUAUAUGAAAUAUUUUUUAAUUAAUAUUUUUGUCUUGAAGCAAUUUUCCAGUGAUAGAAUGAAUUUGUCUUAGCAUCUCUGCUACCCCUAAGAUUCCUAAACAAAUCAUCUUUUUGUCAAUUGAAUACCAUUGUGCAAAAUUGUCAAAUAAUUCUUUUGAUUUUUUUUUAUUAAAGAAAAACUUGAGUAACAUUAAGUUUGUGCUCUUUUGCUAGUUGAUGACUAAAAGCAUUUACUUAGAAAAACUGAAAGUGGUGUGAGUUUAAUGUCUUCAUUGUGGGCCAUAACUCAGAGGAAUAAGGCUAUAAUUG